rnacentral:misc_RNA from 1 species
CAAACAUAGCUGAAUGGCAAAAAAAUAACACAUAUAACCAACCUCAACUAGUUUUUACUUUUGAAUUAAAAUUAAGUUGUUAUUGUUUGAUACCUUCUAUCUAUUCACCUUUACAUGUUGAAAAGAAAGAACUAGUAUGAUUUUAGGAAACCAUAUGUCCUAUCAAAGGCAACUUUGAUAAGAUUUCAUAUAGUAGGUACCAAGACACAUGAGACAAAAUCAGCAUCUUAUGUCUUUCUUGUAGUUAUGCAUCUUUGUCAACUCUCUUGAUGUUACAUUUUAUCCUCUUGAUUCAUAGCUUUAGAUAAUUUGUGUGGUUUCUCCGCCCACAGCAUUGAAAACUAUGUCAUUACUUGACAUCAAAAUUCUUGACAGUACAAAACAGGCUAUAUGUACCUUGAGCUUAUUGAGUUUAAGACUCUAAAGAAUGCAAGGUAAGGUAUGGUAAAGCUUUAUUCUCGUGUGCCAUCUUUAAUUGUGGUUAGUGUUUUUCUAAUUUUCAGCUUUCUCAUACACCUUUAUACAAAAGAAGAAAAGCCCCAAACAUCUCAAGGUUCUUGUAUUUUCUCCACUUUAUUGAAAAAACUCAUGUAGCUUUUUGGAUGUAUUUUCUUGUAUUUUGGCUUUUUUCUAUCCUUUUAGCCUUUGAUCUCUGGAUUUGAGUUAAUGUUUGUUGAAGCAUUUCAAAUGGAAAUAAUGUUGAUUACCUUGGAGAAGGGAGAUAGUUUUAGAGAAAGGUAGCUAUAUGGUCUGAACAUUAAUUUGCAUAUUUUACAGGAUUUUUUUUUUUAAUAUUGUUCUUUAUGUGAAAUCAAUGAUGUGAUGGUUUGGUGAGAGUUAGGAUUGGUGAGAGUUAGGCAUAUGCUUGCAUGGCUAUGUUUCAGUACUGCUGGUUGUGUUUGAUGAGUUAAUGUUUUAGUUGGUUAUGUUUUCCAUAAUGAUGCUAAUGGCUUUUGUAAAGGAAGAAGUCCCGCCUUUUUAUUGGUGUUUCUGAAUUCCAUACUUUUUCCUAAAAAGAAUUGCCCAGAGGGGAGAAAGUUUUGCAAGAGAUUUUGUAAAGUAGGCUUCAAUUUUUGUAUUUCUUGUGAAUUUUUGUUAAUAGGGAUGAUUGCAGAUUGGAAACUUAUUAAUCCACGAGCUACAUAAGGGAAGAAACUUGAUGUUCUAGACUCCUACAUGUAACAACUCCACUGAUUUCAGGCUGUAGUUGGCUGAUUUCACAGAGAUUUCAUUAUAAACCUAGUCAGGGUUGAUAUGAGGCAUUAAAUGAACAUUUUGACCAUUGCCUUUAGGAAUGCCAUGGCAGUUUAGGCAAGAUUUGCAAGAAUUUCAUAUAAGAGGAGCUUAAGCAAUGAAGAUGAAUGGAAGAAUAGGAGGGGAAAAAAUUUAAGCAAAAAACAAUAGCAAGAAUGAGCAUCCUUGCAUUGCAAGGAGAAUGCUACACAUAUUUGAUCCUCUCUGGAGAGUGUAUGCAAAGCAAAACCCUGAUGCACUGGAACACAUUUUAAAGAAAAAAAAGAGAGGGAAGUUCAUGUAUGUAUGCCAUUGGGUAGUUUAGUGGUUGAGUGUCUGUCUCACAGUGCAAAAGGUCAAGAGUUUAAACUUUGGGAGCCCCUUUCUCUUUAAAAGGUUUCCAAUGUACCAAAUCAUCCAAUUAUUUGGCGCUAAUUAUUUUCUAUUGCCAAUUCUUGAAGCUCUGUUUGUUAUGAUUACUUUUACUCCAUUUUUAUACAUUUAAUUUCUAGUUAUAAAACAUGAGUGAUGGAGCAAUAAAAUUCCUGAAACAUUGGGCUAAUGAUGAUAUGCAGACACAGUUGAUGCUCGAGGCGGUAACUGCUCUCCAACAGAAGGUAUGCCAAACUGUAUUUUACCAUUAUUUUGGUAGAUGGGACUUUUUCUUUCGCCUGCAUCUAGUUUAUACCAGUGUACUUAUAUUUGGUUCCUCUAGUGAAUCCAAGAUUGGAUAAACACAAUUUUCUUUAAUGUGUUUAUCCAGCAAUAUUCUCAAGGAUAUAAUGAAUUGAUAAGCUUACUUUUGUCAAGAACAAAAAUAGAUGUAAGAUGUUGAGCUCCCCAGUCUCUACUGGAAAUGUGCUUUUGUAUGUCGGUCAUUUCCUAAUUUCCAUAUCACCGUAUCCAAGUCUAGGCUAUGCACAGUGGCAUGAUGAUUCAUAGCCUAAGGGAAAGAUGAAGUGGCAUUUUCUCUCUUGCCACCACGUGAAGCCUAUGUAUAGUUACGCUAAGCAAGUGGAAGGCAAGAGGGGCUAAUAGUGGAAGCUUCUUGGUGUUGCAAAUAUGAGGCAAUAGCAGCAAUCUCGAUGGACUGUAGAGGAGGUGGAGGUCAACGCCACUUCAAGGAGGGAGGGGAGGGUUUGAUCAUGAAUGGAGGAAGAGGGGAGGGGAGUUUGUGUGACAGGAGGGAGAAUGCAGGGAGGAGGGGUUGUUAUAGAGAAAUGCGAGGGUUAGAGGAAAUAGGGUGAGAGACAAAGAAGAGAGAGAAAAGAGAUGGGCAGUAAGUGGAAAAGAAAGGCUUUGAAGGUAGUUAAGUACUAGAAACCUGUGAUAUCUGGUUACAAGACUUUAAUGUUGCUCCGACUAAAGUUGGAGGAUAUUUAAAUUGAGAUUGAGGAACGAUACAAAAAUGACCCCCUAAGUUAAGGAACAGCUGAUGAAAGUUAGCCCAUAAUUAAUGUUAGCAAAUGUUAGGAUUAUUUCAAGUUAUGGUACUCAAAUGAUUAAGAACUUAGAUAAAUAGGCCAGCCAUGUAGUUAGAUAGAUUUGUUUCAAAAUUACAAACCCUUGUCAUGUAUAUAACAAGGGAAAGAUUAUUCAAUAUUCUCUCACAUUAAUUUGGGAUCCACUAAUCCAAAAUUUCUAUCGGCCUCCACAUUUGUGUGAGUAUAAGAUAUAUUAUUUUUUAGUGCAUAAGGAGCAUUGAAUAAUUACUCUUGUUUGGAGUAAUCAUGUUUAUAGGAUAUAAGCUCUACUUCAAAUCAUUAGUUAAUUGUUUCUUAAUUUCAUUUUUUUAAAACUGUUAAUCCAUAUGUUUAGCUUGAGGGAAAAGGGGAGAGAUUGAUGUGGAGCAAAUCAAUUCAAAUUUCUUUGUUUCAUUAGUUUGUUAUCCAUAAUUCUCUCAUAUGAUCCUUUAAAAAAAUAAUACAAAUUAAAAAUAAUUAAGUUCAUUAAUAAGAACGGUGCAGAUGUGUUUUACAAUCAAGAAGUUGUGGUGGAUAGUUCUCCAUCAAUAGCAACAAGUUAAAUAAUUUUGGUCCCUUAUAUCAAUUGAGCAGUUGUCUAAAGCAAUAAAUAAUAAGGUCAACUAGGCUUCUCUCUGUGUAAUUUUUAGAUAAGUGAAUCCAAGGCAAGCCAGGUGAUCAAACCAUUAUAUAUAAUCUCCUGUUUAAGACUAGACAGCUAGUUGAAUGCUUGUGAAACUGAUCUUCUUAUCUAUUUUCUUUUACUAAAAUAAGCAGGAAAAACAGCUAGCAGAAGAAAAUAAUCUAAUGGGAACAGAGGUAAGAUAGCAAUUCUUCAUCUUUAAAGAACUGCUCAAACUGACCUGGUAUGUCAGCUUUAAUGAGCUUCUUGUCUGUGCGACGACCCCCAGAUAGCAGCAAUUCUCAAUGAGGGCAACCACUGCAACAAUCUGCAGGACCAAGUUUUCCUGGAUAUGGAGCUAAAUAACCAAGCUAAUAAUGGAAGAUAUACUGAUGGUUCAACAUCAUAUAUGCAUCCUCUUCCAGGGGCUAUGCUUCGUUUCUUUUAGAGGAUUAGCCAUGACCUUUGACUGCAAUAAUGGUACCGCUUCUAGUAGUAAUCCUCUUUGCUAACAGAGCAGUGGAGUUUGUAAGUGUGUGCGUAUUCUGCAGGUCAGACUUGUGUAUAUCUAUGCCUUAUCUGGCAACUGGUGAUUCCUUAUAUUAAAAAUAUAAAAACUGCUUUGUACACGUUUCGGCCUAUUAAGCCUCUGUUUCAGUUCUGGGGCUUAAUAUAAUAUAUCAUCUAUUUUAAUAAUAUUAUAAUCUGC